UACUCGUGAGUAGCAAGCAAAGAAGACGAUCCACCACAAGAAGCUAAACACAAGAAAAGAGUGAGAGCUUAAAAAAACGAGAGUUUUUUUUUAUAUAAACCAAGAAGGUUUAUAAGAAACUGUGAGGGUUUCAAAAAUAGAGAGAAAAUUUUGUGGGUAUGAGAGUUUUUUUUUUAUAUAAACCAAGAAGGUUUAUAAGAAAC
rnacentral:lncRNA from 1 species